UUUUGGUAGGCUAUAAGGUUAGGAAUCCAGAUCUUAUCAGAAAGAAGGAAUAAGGUAAUAAUGAAGAUGUCUGAAAAAUCAUUUAUCAGACUACAAGUCUCCUGGUGUGUUGAACAAGGAAGAAAUCAUGGAGACUUUCAAGCUUUCCUCGUGAACCUAAGAAUAAGUGGUGAUUCAUUGCUUUAGAUACGGCUGUAGGCACUUUUGUUGCCUUGAUACUGAAUUCCUUCCUCCUAAAGAAUCAGAAUAAAAGUUUUAGAAGGAAAAGAAAAAUAUUAUAAAGGGAAAACUGCAAAUGACUGAAAACCAGCCAGAUGGAGUGGGAAGAAAAGAGUUGAAGGCCAUAGGACACAGACUGUGUUCUGAGCCAAAAGCAUUAUAGAAGAUAAAACAAAAGGUAGGCAAAAAUCAGGCCCUGGCCAUCAAAGGAAAAAUAUCGGAGACAAGAUGGCACGAGGAUACAGCUACUGAGGUAAGAUUUUGGUGCAGUUCCAGAGGGGACAUUUUCCAGAUCUUGUGUCUUUAGUCUGUGGAAAGACUUGGAACAGAAGGAAGGAUCACAUAAAAAAAUGCAACUGCACAAUUGCACUAGACUGUCACCAAAUAAACUAUUU